CUGAUCCCUCCAACUUUAUGAACGUGAACCCGCGGCGGGAUUAAAACGCAUUCUUCGCGUGACGCAAUGAGGAGACGACAGACGACGCGGACCCUACGCGCGCUCCACUAACAACCCCCCUGAUACCGAUAUCGAUCUCGACCCCCGGACCCCCGCGAUGGACGAGGCGUGCUCCCCGGGAGACCAGCCCUGAGCCACCCGGGAAGCUGACUCCUCUCCCGGGAGACCACGGACAUGACGGCACCGGGACCCGUGUUCAACCCGCCGCGGUGGCGGCUGCGGCUGCAGAGUUUCCUCGCGUGCUGCUGUCUGCUGCGCGCGGUCACCGGAAAGGUCGCUCAGGAUGGAUACUCAGACACG
ensembl:lncRNA